rnacentral:rRNA from 1 species
GUGGAUUAGAUACCCUGGUAGUCCACGCCGUAAACGAUGAGUGCUAGGUGUCACGGGCUUUGACCCUCGUGGUGCCGCAGCUAACGCGUUAAGCACUCCGCCUGGGGAGUACGGCCGCAAGGCUAAAACUCAAAGGAAUUGACGGGGGCCCGCACAAGCGGUGGAGCAUGUUGUUCAAUUCGACGCAACGCGAAGAACCUUACCUGGGCUAGAAAGUACGAGAAUCCGGGCGAAAGUUCGGAGUGCCUUUCGGGGAACUCGUAGUUAGGUGCUGCAUGGUCGUCGUCAACU